CAGAAGAGUAUAAAAGAAAAUUCUUUUUUUUGUGCAUCUUUCUACCUUCCGCGUGCAAUCCAGCACCACCGUCCUAAAAAUUCUGACAUAAUGAAGUGGGGAAUAUUAAUUUCUUUUCUUUUCUUUGUAAGCCUUACAAUAGCAAAAGCCCUGCCCAGAAGUUAUCGGGAUGUAGGGGAAAAAAAGACUAUCCGUGAAUGUUUUGCUGAGCUAGGAGAACAAAAUUUUAGAGCCAUAUCCAUGGUCAUGUUUGCUCAGUAUAUGCAGAAAGUCUCUUUUGAAAAAGCAGCUAAAAUGGUAGAUGAUGUCACAGAUCUUGCAAAAGAGUGUGUUGCUGAUGCCAGAGACCCAAAAUGUGCCAAGCCACUGACUACCUUUUUCCUGGCUGAAAUCUGCCAGGAGGAAGGCCUUACUGGAAUUACUGAGUGUUGUGCUAAAGAUGACUCUGAAAGAAAUGAAUGUUUUCUGUCUCAUAAAAAUGUUACCCAAGGAUUCAUUCAUCCCUUUAAAAAUCCAGAACUUGAAAAAGCAUGCAGUGAUUAUGCUGAUAACCAAAAUUCGCUAGUAGGGUAUUUCAUCUAUGAAAUUUCCAGAAGGCAUCCCUUCCUCUAUGCCCCAACAAUCCUUUUCACUGCUUACAAUUAUGAGAAGAUGAUGAACAACUGCUGUAGCGCUAAAAACAACCCUGAUUUUAACCUGACAGAAUGCUUUGUGAAACAGGCACCAGUUGUGAUGAAGCCAGUAAAAGAAGAUUGUUCCUUGCAGGAACACACCUGUGAGAUCCAGAAGAAAUUUGGAGAAAGAACAUUAAAGGCUCUGACGCUUGCUUUUUUCAGCCAGAAAUUUCCUAAGGCUGAAUUUAACACCACGAUGAAAAUUACAGUGGACAUGGUGGAGAUACACAAGCAAUGUUGUCAAGGAGACAUGCUGGCUUGUAUGCAUGACAGGGCAGAGUUUACAUCCUACGUAUGUUCCCACCAAGAUACCAUCUCAAGUAAAAUUCAAAACUGCUGUGAAAAGCCUGUGCUUGAAAGAAUUAAAUGUAUAUUUAUGUCAGAAAAUGAUGACAAACCCACAGGCUUGUCACCUCAAGUCAGACAGUUUAUAGAGGACCAAGAUGUCUGCAAACGCUUUGAAGAGGAAAAAGAUGUCUACUUGUCCAGAUUUCUCUAUGAAUAUUCCAGAAGACACCCCGAGUUCUCUGUUCUAAUGCUUUCAAGAAUUGGUAGAGGAUACCACGGUUUACUGGAAAAGUGCUGCAAAACCAGCUCUCCUCAAGAGUGCUAUGGCACAGGGGAAGAAGAGCUGAGAAAACACAUCCAGGAGUCCAUAGCAGUGUUAAAGACCAACUGUGAACAAUACAAGGAACUGGGAGAUUAUGCUUUCCAAAAUGAGCUUCUUCUGCGCUAUACCAAGAGAAUGCCUCAGCUGCCCUCCAAAGAGCUGAUCCAAUACACAGAACAAAUGGUGGCAGUUGCUUCCAGGUGCUGUCAGCUCAGCGAUGACAAACAAAUGCUGUGUUCGGAUGGAUAUUUGGAUCUUGUGGUUGGGGAAAUAUGUAGAAGACAAGGGACUGAUCCUAUAAACCAGAAUGUCUGCCGUUGUUGUGAUGACUCCUAUGCUCUCAGGACUACCUGUAUCGCCAGCUUGGAUGUUGAUGAAAAAUACAUACCAAUACCAUUGACUCCUAGUCUGUUUACCUUUGAUGAAGGAUUGUGUACAACUGAAGAGUACAAACUACAAGAAAAGAAGCAGAAUCUGCUCAUCAACCUCAUCAAACACAAGCCUCACAUUACAAAAGAACAGCUGGACUCCAUCACUACAGCUUUUACCACCUUUAGAGAGAAGUGCUGCAAGGUGGACAACCAUAAUGCAUGCUUUGCGGAAGAGGGCCCAAAUCUGAUUACCCAGGGCAAGACUAUUUUGGGAGAAUAAAACCACUCAGUGGAAGAAGAUGGUGAUAAAAUUCAUCCGUGCUCCAUUUAUUCUGUGCUUUCUUUUCUUUUUGCCAUCUAUGUCUAAGAACUCCCAAGUGAAGGAAACAAGAUUCUUCUAUUAUUUUCAUCUCUCAGUUUUGUGACCAUUCAAUAAUGAAUAACAACUUAAAAAACACCUCCCUCCCUGUCCUGGCCUGUUGAUUCACUGCAUGAAGAAUUACUUGAAAACAAUUUCCUACAGCACCAUUACCAGUUCUUGUUGCAGCACCAUUACCAAUUCUUAGCUGUAUUUCCUUAGCUGGUUAUGCCAAUUCAGAGAAUUUAUCAUUUUAAACCAGGCUUCUUAGUUAUUUUUAUAAUGUCCAAAAACAUAUUUGGCAUUCUCUGAAUAUAGGAAAACAGGUCUGUGUCCUGACUAGCUUUCUGUCUGAAGUCUGUUUAGACUGUAAAAGCAGAGGUGACAGAGUCCAAACAGUGGAUACAUGUAAGGAUAAUAUUUAAACCACAUACUGUACUUAAAUCUCAUGAAUUUAGGUGGGACUGAAAAUUAAGAAUGCACUUAAAUCAAGGAUGACACCAUCAGCAAAUACUAGAUAUGCAUCUCAAACUUGUUUACAGAAUGAAGGUCCAUAGGAAGAUGCUGGGAAACAGUGGUGACUGAAAGCAACACCCUACCUGCUGUAGUCAAGUGACUAGGCCUAGUGAAACCAAUUGGGCAAGUAUGCUUCAGGAAUCAAAAGAAAAAAAGGGAACUGACAAACAUUUUGGAAAAAUCAGUCCCUUAGCAUUUUUAAAGUCCUUCAUCACUCUGCAAAAGUUCUUAAGUGUGACUUCUUUAUAAGAGGCUUUAGACUUCUUUAUAAGAUGGUCCCUCACGAUAGACUUGCUGGGUAAGAAAGGGAGCUCUCUCGAUUUGAGGUGCUAGCCAGACAGACCAUACAGCUUCCCAUAGAUCUCAGACUGAGGAAUACAACUAUGCUGCAAUAUCAUCAAAGAGAUCUGCUGAAGUCCUGCCUCAGAUUUAGCAACAGGGGGCAGGAGGACCAGGAGAUUCAGGCUGCUGAUUCAAUACCACAGCUCCUUUCAUGCCUCAAUGCAUCUCUAGUAUGUAUGAGUCUUCCCCAAAUCAAGAAGUAUGAGACUGAGAAUUGAGCUUCAAUGCUCACUUUCUUAUUUGUAAAGACUCAUAUUAUGAUUGCUGAAGCACCCCUCAUCUCAUGCCACAAAUGCACUUCUGGACUCUGGAACCUCACAUUUUCUAGCUCACCUGUAGUAUGCACCAAACCCCCAAGAGUUCCCUUGCUCUAAUUAUAUUGUUAUUUUUUUUUUAAGUAGAGGCUUGUUUUUGU